UGCCAAAGAAGAGUUGCCCUA
rnacentral:miRNA from 1 species